UACAGCCCAGUGGGGACGGACCUGCCUAGA
rnacentral:piRNA from 1 species